rnacentral:rRNA from 1 species
GUGGGGAAUCUUCCACAAUGGACGAAAGUCUGAUGGAGCAACGCCGCGUGAGUGAAGAAGGGUUUCGGCUCGUAAAGCUCUGUUGUCGGGGACGAAUGUGCAGUAUUUGAAUAAAGUACUGCAAUGACGGUACCUGACGAGGAAGCCACGGCUAACUACGUGCCAGCAGCCGCGGUAAUACGUAGGUGGCAAGCGUUGUCCGGAAUUAUUGGGCGUAAAGGGAGCGCAGGCGGGAAGGUAAGUCGGUCUUAAAAGUGCGGGGCUCAACCCCGUGAUGGGAUCGAAACUAUCUUUCUUGAGUGCAGGAGAGGAAAGUGGAAUUCCUAGUGUAGCGGUGAAAUGCGUAGAUAUUAGGAGGAACACCAGUGGCGAAGGCGACUUUCUGGACUGUAACUGACGCUGAGGCUCGAAAGCCAGGGGAGCGAACGGGAUUAGAUACCCUAGUAGUCC